GACGAACGCUGGCGGCGUGCUUAACACAUGCAAGUCGAACGGUAAGGCCUUCGGGUACGACGAGUGGCGAACGGGUGGAGUAACACGUGGGUGGAUCUGCCCUGCACUUCGGGAUAAGCCUGGGAAACUGGGUCUAAUACCGGAUAGGACCAUGGACUUCACGGUUUGUGGUGGAAAGCUUUUGCGGUGUGGGAUGGCCCGCGGCCUAUCAGCUUGUUGGUGGGGUAAUGGCCUACCAAGGCAACGACGGGUAGCCGGCCUGAGAGGGUGUCCGGCCACACUGGGACUGAGAUACGGCCCAGACUCCUACGGGAGGCAGCAGUGGGGAAUAUUGCAC
rnacentral:rRNA from 1 species